rnacentral:tRNA from 1 species
GUGCCCAUAGCUCAGCUGGAUAGAGCACCUGCCUUCUAAGCAGGGGGUCCCAGGUUCGAGUCCUGGUGGGUGCG